UGCUGUUGCUUCUAUUAAAAGACACAGAAAUAGGUUAAACCUCCCAGUGUUUUGCAUGUUUUGUUUUCCUUAGAAGCCAAGUUCCAAGCUUUACUGAUUUUC